rnacentral:rRNA from 1 species
UACGUAGGUGGCAAGCGUUGUCCGGAAUUAUUGGGCGUAAAGGGCUCGUAGGCGGUCUGUCGCGUCGAAAGUGAAAACCCAGGGCUUAACCCUGGGCCUGCUUCCGAUACGGGCAGACUAGAGGUAUGCAGGGGAGAACGGAAUUCCUGGUGUAGCGGUGAAAUGCGCAGAUAUCAGGAGGAACACCGGUGGCGAAGGCGGUUCUCUGGGCAUUACCUGACGCUGAGGAGCGAAAGUGUGGGGAGCGAACAGG